rnacentral:rRNA from 1 species
GAUGAACGCUGGCGGCGUGCCUAAUACAUGCAAGUCGAGCGAACAGAUGAGGAGCUUGCUCCUCUGACGUUAGCGGCGGACGGGUGAGUAACACGUGGAUAACCUACCUAUAAGACUGGGAUAACUUCGGGAAACCGGAGCUAAUACCGGAUAAUAUAUUGAACCGCAUGGUUCAAUAGUGAAAGACGGUUUUGCUGUCACUUAUAGAUGGAUCCGCGCCGCAUUAGCUAGUUGGUAAGGUAACGGCUUACCAAGGCAACGAUGCGUAGCCGACCUGAGAGGGUGAUCGGCCACACUGGAACUGAGACACGGUCCAGACUCCUACGGGAGGCAGCAGUAGGGAAUCUUCCGCAAUGGGCGAAAGCCUGACGGAGCAACGCCGCGUGAGUGAUGAAGGUCUUCGGAUCGUAAAACUCUGUUAUUAGGGAAGAACAAAUGUGUAAGUAACUAUGCACGUCUUGACGGUACCUAAUCAGAAAGCCACGGCUACUACGUG